rnacentral:rRNA from 1 species
AUUAGGUAAGAGUACCCGCUGAACUUAAGCAUAUCAAUAAGCGGAGGAAAAGAAACUAACAAGGAUUCCCUUAGUAACGGCGAGUGAAGUGGGAAUGGCUCAAAUUUUAAAUCUGGCCGGUUUCUGGUCCGAAUUGUAAUUUAAAGAAGCGUUUACAGCGUCCUCUCGGGUAUAGGUCCCUUGGAAUAGGGCAUCAUAGAGGGUGAGAAUCCCGUCUGUGACACGAGUUCGGGUGCGAUACGUAACGCUUUCGACGAGUCGAGUUGUUUGGGAUUGCAGCUCAAAAUGGGUGGUAAAUUCCAUCUAAGGCUAAAUACUUGCAAGAGACCGAUAGCGAACAAGUACCGUGAGGGAAAGAUGAAAAGAACUUUGAAAAGAGAGUUAAACAGUACGUGAAAUUGUUGAAAGGGAAACGAUUGAAGCCAGUCGUGUCGGUGGGAAAUCAGCUUCCGGGAUUCCUGGGGGUGCACUUUCUCGCAAGGCAGGUUAGCGUCAGUUUCGCCAGUUGUAAAAAGUCCGUCGGAAUGUGACUCCUUUCGGAGUGUUAUAGCCAGCGGUCAAUGCGACGUGCGGGACUGAGGAUUGCAGCGGGUGCCUUUCGAGGCUGCCUUUCGGGGCUAUGUGCCUAGCUCUUGUUUGUGAUCGUCUUGGUAGCAGCUUGCUGGUGCCGAGCCCGAUUCGUGGGCACGGGGUAUAGCGUCACGGUAAACUCGCUAAGGAUGCUGACGUAAUGGCUUUAAACGACCCGUCUUGAAACACGGACCAAGGAGUCUAACAUAUGUGCGAGUGUU